AAUUCCCACUAGAUGCAUAAAUUGCAGUUCCUAUUAACGGCACUAUGAAUAAUAAUCGGUUUACUUUCUGACUUGUAUCUAAAUAUACUUUCUAUAUGAUUUCAUCUUUUAUUCAGCUGUUUAAAAGCAGAACAUCUAAUUACAGUUCCUAUUAGUCAACAUUAAUUUUUUUUCUUUUUGCCAUGGAGCAUGUGUGAUGACUGAUUUUCUAAAAACAGAAUUCUUUAGCAUAUGGAACAAAUCGUGUUAUUAUUAAUGCAUUCCCAGAUGACUCUGCAUAUCAAUUCUCUUAAUUAUUUAGUCAUUGCUGAUUAUGUCUUUUUAUAAUUCAUUACCCUAUUUCUCGCAGUGCAGGCAUUUUAUUCAUUAAGUGUCAAAAUGAAGGGCUUGACCUCCA
rnacentral:lncRNA from 1 species